rnacentral:rRNA from 1 species
AUUGAACGCUAGCGGGAUGCCUUACACAUGCAAGUCGAACGGAGUGGCGAACGGGUGAGUAAUGUAUCGGAACGUGCCCAGUAGCGGGGGAUAACUACGCGAAAGCGUAGCUAAUACCGCAUACUAUUAGAGCGGCCGAUAUCGGAUUAGCUAGUUGGUGGGGUAACGGCUCACCAAGGCGACGAUCCGUAGCGGGUUUGAGAGGACGACCAGCCAACUGGGGACUGAGAAACGGCACAGAUUCCGACGGAGGGCAGCAGUGGGGAAUUUUGGACAAGGGGGGAAACCUUGAUCCAGACAUCCGGCGUGGGCGAUGAAGGCCUUCGGGUUGUAAAGCACUUUUGGCAGGAAAGCGGUACCUGCAGAAUAAGCACCGGCUAACUACGUGCCAGCAGCCGCGGUAAUAC